ensembl:lncRNA
AUGUCAAAAUCUGUGUUGGAAAUGGUUGGAUUUCUAAAGAGAAUGAAAAGCAUGGCGAGCUGCGGAGUGCUUGGGAAAGGGCAGAGGAUCUCACUCAGACCUGUGACACCUGCAGCUGCCAAACGAAGCAUGUCGGUGUUACACCUCAGCUCAGGCCCCUGCAAGGGCGGUUUCCUUACAGCCCUGUUUCUAGGUAACCAAAUCCCUGUCACACAUAGCGUUCCACAUUGCCAGAGGACACUGACACGAGCAGCGCAGGGACGGCUGCCAUCAAUAGGGAGCAAACAGGAGCCCCGGCUGAUUUCAAUUACACUGGCAGCAAUUCAGAGGAACCCCAAUGAAUCCAGGCUGGAAGUGGAAGUGGCAUUUGGGCAUUUUAAUACAGCAUUCAAACUCACACCACAGAACUCAGCUCUCCAGUUCGACAGAAUCAAACCUCCCUCAACACAGCCCCAAAAUUUGGAAUGUGGAGUCAAAGAAGGUAAGACUACAUAUGAAGAUAAAGGAAAAGUCAUUUUGCAAAGGGAGGAAAAAGCCAAAUUACCUUCAGAGUCAAACGCUGGGAAUGUCAAAGCAUCUGGGACCAAACCCCAAUCACAAGGUUUCAUACAGACCUAA